rnacentral:lncRNA from 1 species
AGAACGGUAGAAGUUUGGCUACGGAAGGAACGCAAUGAAGAUAGAAGAAUAAGGAAAGAAAAGAAGGCUGCUGGCCUUCCUGAAUUCGAAAAGCAAGUUGAGGGAAGCCGUGUAGCCGGGGGAGAUCCUGGACGAGCUUCGGUUCGAGUUACUAAUAAUGGUUGGGCCGCAGGCCGGUUACAUUCAACUGUUGCUGGCGAGGAAAACUUCCUCCUAAGCUCAAACCGAGUAUUGAGGUAGUAUACUACAAAUGGGAAACUUACUCCUAAGCUCAAACCGAGUACUGAGGCAGUAAAAUGAUUUUCAAAUUAUACGAGGGCGUUUACUGUUUGAUUUUAUGAACUUAAAAUAAAAUUCAUUUGCCAAUACUUUCUGGCACAUAUAAUCCUUUGUUAUAUAGGGUCACAUGUUAUGCAGAUAAAGUUAUGUUUAACGUAUGUAGCUUCGAAAGUUUAUAAUGCUUGCUUGAAAGCGUUUUGUAAUCUUGUUGUUUCAUAUUUGUAAGUUGUAACCCUGUAUUUGGGUAGAAAGAGAACAAUAGCAGCCU